CCUACGGGGGGCAGCAGUGAGGAAUAUUGGUCAAUGGACGAGAGUCUGAACCAGCCAAGUAGCGUGAAGGAUGACUGCCCUAUGGGUUGUAAACUUCUUUUAUAUGGGAAUAAAAUGUUCCACGUGUGGGAUUUUGUAUGUACCAUAUGAAUAAGGAUCGGCUAACUCCGUGCCAGCAGCCGCGGUAAUACGGAGGAUCCGAGCGUUAUCCGGAUUUAUUGGGUUUAAAGGGAGCGUAGGUGGAUUGUUAAGUCAGUUGUGAAAGUUUGCGGCUCAACCGUAAAAUUGCAGUUGAAACUGGCAGUCGUGAGUACAGUAGAGGUGAGCGGAAGUCGUGGUGUAGCGGUGAGAUGCUUAGAUAUCACGAAGAACUCCGAUUGCGAAGGCAGCUCACUGGACUGCAACUGACACUGAGGCUCGAAAGUGUGGGUAUCAAACAGGAUUAGAUACCCGGGUAGUC
rnacentral:rRNA from 1 species